ACAUCAGGCCUAAACCAUCA
rnacentral:miRNA from 1 species